rfam:Burkholderia peredens type strain LMG 29314 genome assembly, contig: contig000009
CGCGUGGCUGGUCGGACAUCAACGGCAGCGGCCAUGGGACAACCGGUACUGUGGGAUAGUCUUGAGACACUGGACAGGGUGGCGAAGUUAGCGCCCUGAGACGAACGGCUGACGGGC